rnacentral:lncRNA from 1 species
AUGUCUAAUCAGGUGGAUACUCCGUGCCUCGAAACAACUUCUUUAAGAUAGACGUCUGCGAGAGUGGAGAACUUGUCCGUUUCCUUAAUCGGCAGGAAGUGUGCAGACUUGGUGAGUCGAUCAACUAUGACCCAUAUUGUAUCGUUCCCACGCUGAGAUCUAGGUAAGCCUGUAACAAAAUCCAUGGAAAUUUCUUCCCAUUUCCAUUGAGGUAUCUUAGGCUGCUGAAGUAGACCAGCUGGUUUCUGGUAUUCAACCUUGACUCUCGCACAGGUCAAACAUUUUCCAACGUACGUAGCGAUGUGGGCCUUCAUGCUAG